rnacentral:rRNA from 1 species
UACAGAGGGGGCAAGCGUUGUCCGGAAUUAUUGGGCGUAAAGAGCUCGUAGGCGGUCUGUCGCGUCGAUCGUGAAAACUUGGGGCUUAACCCUGAGCUUGCGGUCGAUACGGGCAUGACUGGAGUUCGGCAGGGGAGACUGGAAUUCCUGGUGUAGCGGUGAAAUGCGCAGAUAUCAGGAGGAACACCGGUGGCGAAGGCGGGUCUCUGGGCCGAUACUGACGCCGAGGAGCGAAAGCGUGGGGAGCGAACAGG